AAGUCGUAACAAGGUCUCCGUUGGUGAACCAGCGGAGGGAUCAUUAGCGAUUCGACGCAAAAAACCCUGUGCAUUUACCGCUAUUCUCUGGCAGGGUGCCCUGGGAGGGCCAAGCCACCUGCCAGAUUUUACUCUUGCUCUCUCUUCUGAAAUUGGAUUUGACAAAAAAAAAAAACUCUCAACAAUGGAUCUCUUGGCUCUU
rnacentral:misc_RNA from 1 species